rnacentral:rRNA from 1 species
GACGAACGCUGGCGGCGUGCUUAACACAUGCAAGUCGAACGAAGAGCGAUGGAAGCUUGCUUCUAUCACUCUUAGUGGCGAACGGGUGAGUAACGCGUAAUCAACCUGCCCUUCAGAGGGGGACAACAGUUGGAAACGACUGCUAAUACCGCAUACGAUCUAAUCUCGGCAUCGAGGAUAGAUGAAAGGUGGCCUCUACAUGUAAGCUAUCACUGAAGGAGGGGAUUGCGUCUGAUUAGCUAGUUGGAGGGGUAACGGCCCACCAAGGCGAUGAUCAGUAGCCGGUCUGAGAGGAUGAACGGCCACAUUGGGACUGAGACACGGCCCAGACUCCUACGGGAGGCAGCAGUGGGGAAUCUUCCGCAAUGGACGAAAGUCUGACGGAGCAACGCCGCGUGAGUGAUGACGGCCUUCGGGUUGUAAAGCUCUGUUAAUCGGGACGAAAGGCCUUCUUGCGAACAGUUAGAAGGAUUGACGGUACCGGAAGAGAAAGCCACGGCUAACUACGUG